rnacentral:misc_RNA from 1 species
UACGGAGGGGGCAAGCGUUAUUCGGAAUUAUUGGGCGUAAAGGGCGCGCAGGCGGCCUGGCAAGUCUCGGGUGAAAUCCCUCGGCUCAACCGAGGAACUGCCCUGGAUACUACCUGGCUCGAGGCCGGGAGGGGGUAGCGGAAUUCCCAGUGUAGCGGUGAAAUGCGUAGAUAUUGGGAGGAACACCGGUGGCGAAGGCGGCUACCUGGACCGGUUCUGACGCUGAUGCGCGAAAGCGUGGGGAGCGAACAGG